rnacentral:rRNA from 1 species
UACGUAGGGUGCGAGCGUUAAUCGGAAUUACUGGGCGUAAAGGGCGCGUAGGCGGCCUGCUAAGUCGAACGUGAAAUCCCCGGGCUCAACCCGGGAACUGCGUCCGAUACUGGUGGGCUUGAAUCCGGGAGAGGGAUGUGGAAUUCCAGGUGUAGCGGUGAAAUGCGUAGAUAUCUGGAGGAACACCGGUGGCGAAGGCGGCAUCCUGGACCGGGUAUUGACGCUGAGGCGCGAAAGCUAGGGGAGCAAACGGGG